rnacentral:rRNA from 1 species
GUGGGGAAUCUUGCGCAAUGGGCGAAAGCCUGACGCAGCCAUGCCGCGUGAAUGAUGAAGGUCUUAGGAUUGUAAAAUUCUUUCACCGGGGACGAUAAUGACGGUACCCGGAGAAGAAGCCCCGGCUAACUUCGUGCCAGCAGCCGCGGUAAUACGAAGGGGGCUAGCGUUGCUCGGAAUUACUGGGCGUAAAGGGCGCGUAGGCGGACAGUUUAGUCAGAGGUGAAAGCCCAGGGCUCAACCUUGGAAUUGCCUUUGGUACUGGCGGUCUUUAGUACGGGGGAGGUGAGUGGAACUCCGAUUGUAGAGGUGAAAUUCGUAGAUAUUCGGAAGAACACCAGUGGCGAAGGCGACUCACUGGCCCGUUACUGACGCUGAGGCGCGAAAGCGUGGGGAGCAAACAGGAUUAGAUACCCCGGUAGUCC